GCUUUAAAGGGGCAGCUGCAGCCCGGGGGCCGCCCCACGUGAGGCCGGUGCGCUCCUGCCGACCGCAGCCCCGAGCGCUGAGCCGCGGCCGGAGCCGCCGGGGCUGGGCGGGCGGGCCGAGCGGAGCGGAGCGGAGCGGAGGGCUGCCAGCCCGCCUCACGCCAAGUUUGAUCGAUAACCCCCUCCCGGCCCGGGCGGAGCAGCCUCGGCGGCUCCGCUACCCACCAUCUUUGGGGGAAGUCCCUGCGUUGGGGGGGGGCUGCUGGCGACGGGGGAGAAAGGCAAUCUCGCAGCCAAUGAGCCCUGCUAGACUGGGGUGAAGACGAGAGCAGAGGGAUUUGGGGAAGGAAAGAAUAAAAAAAAGAGACGAAAGGAGGGGGACCAUCCUCCCCACCACCUCCGCCAGCAUCGCCACCGCCGUUGACACCGCUCCGAGUCUCCAGUUGCGCCCAUGCCUGUGCCGCCAGUUUCGGUUUAGGGGCUGAACCGCAGGGGCUGAAGAAAAUGGGGCAGAGCGCGCCCCGGACCCUCCUGCUGCUGCUGGCGGGGCUGCUGGGGGAGGCUCUGGCGGGGUUCCCCAACACCAUCAGUAUAGGUGGACUUUUCAUGAGGAACACUGUUCAGGAGCACAGUGCAUUUCGAUUUGCUGUGCAGCUAUACAACACAAACCAAAAUACCACAGAAAAGCCCUUCCAUUUGAACUAUCACGUAGAUCACUUGGACUCUUCCAACAGUUUUUCAGUGACAAAUGCUUUCUGUUCACAGUUUUCCAGAGGAGUUUAUGCCAUCUUUGGAUUCUAUGACCAGAUGUCCAUGAACACCCUGACGUCGUUCUGUGGAGCCCUUCACACGUCCUUCAUCACCCCGAGCUUCCCGACGGAUGCAGAUGUGCAGUUCGUCAUCCAGAUGCGGCCAGCCUUGAAAGGAGCCAUCUUGAGCCUCUUGACUUACUAUAAGUGGGAAAAGUUUGUGUACCUCUAUGACACAGAACGGGGAUUUUCCAUUCUUCAGGCAAUUAUGGAAGCAGCAGUACAGAACAACUGGCAAGUGACAGCCAGAUCUGUAGGAAGCAUAAAAGAUGUUCAAGAGUUCAGAAGAAUUAUAGAGGAGAUGGACAGACGGCAAGAAAAAAGAUACUUAAUUGACUGUGAAGUAGACAGAAUCAACACCAUUUUGGAACAGGUUGUAAUCCUUGGCAAACAUUCUAGAGGCUAUCACUACAUGUUAGCUAACCUGGGUUUCACGGACAUUGUUCUGGAAAGAGUAAUGCAUGGAGGUGCCAACAUUACUGGAUUCCAGAUUGUUAAUAAUGAAAAUCCAAUGGUUCAACAGUUUCUACAGCGCUGGAUGAGGCUUGAUGAAAGGGAAUUCCCUGAAGCCAAAAACUCACCAUUAAAGUACACGUCUGCACUGACCCAUGAUGCAGUCCUGGUCAUAGCAGAGGCUUUCCGGUACCUCCGAAGGCAGCGUGUGGAUGUCUCCAGGAGAGGCAGUGCUGGAGACUGCCUGGCUAACCCUGCAGUGCCAUGGAGCCAAGGAAUUGAUAUAGAAAGAGCACUGAAAAUGGUGCAGGUUCAAGGAAUGACAGGGAACAUCCAGUUCGACACCUAUGGGCGGAGAACAAAUUACACAAUUGAUGUGUAUGAAAUGAAAGCUGCUGGAUCAAGGAAGGCUGGUUAUUGGAAUGAAUAUGAAAGAUAUGUGCCAGCAUUAGAUCAGCUGCCCUCUAAUGACUCUUCAUCUGUGGAGAACAGAACCAUAGUAGUCACUACCAUCUUGGAAUCACCAUAUGUAAUGUAUAAGAAAAACCAUGAACAACUAGAAGGGAAUGAGAGAUAUGAAGGAUAUUGUGUAGACUUAGCUUCUGAAAUAGCAAAACAUGUUGGAAUAAAAUACAAACUGUCAAUUGUUGGAGAUGGGAAAUAUGGAGCUAGGGACCCUGAGACUAAGAUAUGGAAUGGCAUGGUGGGUGAACUGGUCUAUGGGAGAGCAGAUAUAGCUGUUGCCCCCCUCACCAUAACAUUGGUACGAGAAGAAGUCAUAGACUUUUCCAAACCCUUUAUGAGCUUGGGCAUCUCCAUCAUGAUCAAGAAGCCUCAGAAAUCUAAACCAGGCGUGUUCUCUUUCCUGGAUCCUUUGGCUUAUGAAAUUUGGAUGUGUAUAGUCUUUGCUUACAUUGGCGUCAGCGUAGUUCUUUUCCUAGUCAGCAGAUUCAGCCCUUAUGAGUGGCACUUGGAAGACAACACUGAAGAACCACGUGACCCUCAGAAUCCUCCUGACCCUCCAAAUGAGUUUGGAAUAUUUAACAGCCUUUGGUUUUCCCUGGGUGCCUUUAUGCAGCAAGGAUGCGAUAUUUCUCCAAGAUCUCUCUCAGGGCGAAUUGUCGGAGGAGUCUGGUGGUUCUUCACUCUCAUCAUUAUCUCUUCCUACACUGCUAAUCUCGCUGCCUUCCUUACGGUGGAAAGGAUGGUUUCACCCAUAGAGAGUGCAGAGGACCUGGCUAAACAAACUGAAAUAGCCUAUGGCACUUUGGAUUCAGGCUCAACCAAAGAAUUCUUUAGAAGGUCAAAAAUAGCUGUCUAUGAGAAAAUGUGGUCAUACAUGAAGUCGGCCGAGCCCUCGGUGUUCACCAAGACGACGGCGGACGGGGUGGCCAGGGUGCGGAAGUCCAAGGGCAAGUUUGCCUUCCUGCUGGAGUCCACCAUGAACGAGUACAUCGAGCAGCGCAAGCCCUGCGACACCAUGAAAGUUGGAGGCAACCUGGAUUCCAAGGGCUAUGGUGUAGCAACCCCCAAAGGCUCAGCAUUAAGAAAUGCUGUUAACCUGGCAGUAUUAAAACUGAAUGAGCAAGGCCUCUUGGACAAAUUGAAAAACAAAUGGUGGUACGACAAAGGAGAGUGCGGCAGCGGGGGAGGUGACUCCAAGAACUCCUGUAAACCUUGCAGUAUUGAAACUCAGUGAACAAGGCAUCUUAGACAAGCUGAAAAACAAAUGGUGGUACGAUAAGGGUGAAUGUGGAGCCAAGGACUCCGGAAGUAAGGACAAGACGAGCGCUCUGAGCCUGAGCAAUGUUGCUGGCGUGUUCUAUAUCCUUGUGGGAGGCCUGGGGCUGGCCAUGAUGGUGGCACUGAUCGAGUUCUGCUACAAGUCUCGGGCUGAGUCCAAGAGAAUGAAGCUCACCAAGAACACGCAGAACUUCAAACCUGCUCCUGCCACCAACACCCAGAAUUAUGCUACCUACAGGGAAGGCUACAACGUGUACGGCACAGAAAGUGUGAAAAUCUAGGGAUCUUCACCCUGACAGCAUGCAAGACAAAAAGCAGCAGAGAAUGUGGCUACUUCGUGGAUUUGGACCAUCUGAGCCAGUUGUACUCUCUCCGAGGUGUCAGGCAUGACACGCAUUGAUGAUGGUGCAAUGUACUUUUAAUAGGAAAAACUGGUAUUUUUUCCUUCAGUGCCUUAUGGAAGACUCUGAGACUCACAACAAUGCAAACCAUCACUGAAAUAUUCUUGCUUUGCUUCAAAGAAGUAAAAGAAAAAGAAGAGAGGAAAAGAAAAGAAAAAGAAAAGAAAAAAGAAACAAAGGGAAAAAGAAAAGGACUGGUAACAAGAUAUUGGUAUGUGAAAAAAAAAAUUCUUGUAAAAAAAGAUCAGUGCAACAAAAGCCAUUCUUUGAUACCACUGCACAGUAACUGAACUUGUGUCCUGAAAGCAAGCGCAGCUGGUUUCAUCAGCCACCCCAGUCGUAUCAAAUUAUGAAACUCCUCCUGACACCAAGCCUCAGAAAUCUGCUGCGUGCAAACGCGGACUGGCCUGCCACUGCUUGUAUGAGCUGAUGUCAAGAUGUUUCAGUAUUUACUUACAGUGGUGUCAUUUUAUUUUUUUUUCUGAGCCACUUUAACCUCUCCAGCUAAUUUGAGCAAUUCUGUAUAGCAGCAAAAAGGAGGGAAAGAAUCCGUGCAUUCAAAUCAAUUAAGGUCAAUGACUGUGAAUCUGUAAAUCCAAAAGAAAGUAAUUUGUGGAACUGCAUGUCUUGCUUCCAGAUCAGUAAAUUAAUUUCUUGACAAGGUAGCUAAAGUGUGGAAGAAAAUAUUGCAUUCCUUUUUUUUUGUUCUAUCAUCAGGCAUACCUACAGGUGCUUUAUUAAAAUGACAUUGGGUGGCUUUUAAAAUUAAAAAAAAAGAGGAAAAGCUACUUGCUGUUUAAGUUCAGACCAUAUAUCUCUUUUCUUGCUGUGCAUUUGCAUUUUAAUUCACUGUUUAAUAUCAAGCAAUGAAGCAAGAGAAAGGCAGGUUAGUUUUUCCCAGGCCUGCUUCUGCUUCUCCCCAGUUCCCUCCCAGCUAGCACCGUGCUCAGCUAACGCUCCUCAGCGCCGCUCCUUGUGACACAGAAGCAAGGAGAGAGGACAGUAACUCCGGUUUAGCUGCAGUUCCAGAGUAAUAGCAAGCGAUCUAACAUGACUCCUGCUAGUACUGUGAUAUUAUAUCAGCUCCUGCCAACUCUUGUUUCAUGCCUGGGGAGAGGCUGCUCCUGGCCCUGCCCCUGUGCGAGGAGGGCGCCGCGCUCCGGCCGCCUCUGCUCGGGAGCAGCUCGCUGUUACCCACAUCCAACAUCUUAGACAGCAGCAGCAUCUCAGCCUUGAACCUCUGCCUGGAAACUACUUAACUUCAUCUCUAAAAAUAAAAAUAAAAAUUAAAAAAAAAAAAACAGGAAAAGAAAAAAAAACGCAAAACUUUAAACAUAUUGUCAAUCACUUGGGAAAUGUUCAAUGGAAUAUCUGCUUACUAAUUACCUCUAAUCGACAAUAUGUAUUUUCCGUAGUUUAUGAUAGAGUUUUAUUUCAUCAAUAACAUACAGUGAAAAAGAAACUCAUUUAAACCAGUCUGACCCUUAGGCAUUUAGUUUGCUGAUGAUAGAUUUGAACUUUUAAUAGGAUUUAAAAACAAACAAAAAACAAAAAAAAAAAUAAAAGUCUUGUUAAAAAUAUGUAUUUCCAACAAAAUGUAAUAUAAAAUCAUUUUAAAAGCUCAUAGGAAAAAUAAUUUAUUGUUCAAGUUUUUAACGAGAUAUUGACAAAAAAUUGUUUUGUUUUCAUUUUGUUUUCAUGAAACUCUGAUUUUUUUUUUCAACUUCUGAACACGAUCACGUCCCCAGCAAGGGUGAGCUAAAGCUGUGCAGUUAUGAGUUGUAUUUAAAACAAACAUUUUUCUUAAAAGCUGUAUAAAAUAUGUAUGUUUAUCAGAUCAAUUUUUAAGAGUGGAGGCUUCACACCAGUGAAGGGAGUUUGGUAAAUGGUUCGAUAUUUUUUAAACUUGCAUGUAAAUCUAAAAUGUGUUGAGUGCUUACCAAUUCUGGCUACCAACUUCAAGCUAUCAGAAGUUUGGCAGUAGUCUCAUGAUGAUUUGUUUUGGUAUAUUUUUUUAAAUUUGUUUUGCUUCAGGGGCUUUGAGGGUUCUCUCCUUUUUCUCUUUUUUUUCUCCUUUUUUUUUUUUUUGUUUUUUUGUAAUUUAAGUUCCUAUUUUUGGUCGUUGAAACUGCACUUGAGUGAGCAGAAAAAUUGCCAAGCAAACUAAUGGCUGUAAAAGCAUAAACUGCAUGUGUGGACAUCAAUUACUGAGCCUCAUUUUGAUGAGGUGUUGUACAAAGAGUUUUAAUACAUUUUGUAAAUAAAACUGUAAAGAAAAAAAAA